CUACGGGCUGCUGCAGUGGGGAAUUUUGCGCAAUGGGCGAAAGCCUGACGCGGCAACGCCGUGUGAGUGAUGAAGGCCUUCGGGUUGUAAAGCUCUGUCAAGUGGGAAGAAGCUCUGACGGUACCACUGAAGGAAGCCCCGGCUAACUCCGUGCCAGCAGCCGCGGUAAUACGGAGGGGGCAAGCGUUGUUCGGAAUCAUUGGGCGUAAAGCGUAUGUAGGCGGCCAGAUAAGUCAGGCGUGUAAGCCCACGGCUCAACCGUGGAAUUGCGCUUGAAACUGUCUGACUUGAGUACAGGAGAGGAAAGCGGAAUUCCCAGUGUAGCGGUGACAUGCGUUGAUAUUGGGAAGAACACCGGUGGCGAAGGCGGCUUUCUGGUCUGUUACUGACGCUGAGAUACGAAAGCCAGGGGAGCGAACGGGAUUAGAUACCCCAGUAGUC
rnacentral:rRNA from 1 species